UACGAAGGGGGCUAGCGUUGUUCGGAAUCACUGGGCGUAAAGGGCGCGUAGGCGGCUGUUCAAGUCGGGGGUGAAAGCCUGUGGCUCAACCACAGAAUUGCCUCGAUACUGGACGGCUCGAGACCGGAAGAGGUCAGUGGAACUGCGAGUGUAGAGGUGAAAUUCGUGAGAUAUUCGCAAGAACACCGGUGGCGAAGGCGGCUUCUUGGGCCGUUUCUGACGCUGAGGCGGCGAAAGCCAGGGGAGCGAACGGG
rnacentral:rRNA from 1 species